rnacentral:rRNA from 1 species
UACGUAGGGUGCGAGCGUUAAUCGGAAUUACUGGGCGUAAAGCGUGCGCAGGCGGUUAUUUAAGUCAGGUGUGAAAGCCCUGGGCUUAACCUAGGAAUUGCGCUUGAGACUGGAUAGCUUGGAGUGCGGCAGAGGGAGGUGGAAUUCCCGGUGUAGCAGUGAAAUGCGUAGAGAUCGGGAGGAACACCAGUGGCGAAGGCGGCCUUCUGGACCAAUACUGACGCUCAUGCACGAAAGCGUGGGGAGCAAACAGG